ACACUGGUGAUUCAAUGGUAGAAUUCUUGCCUUCCAUGAGGGAGAUCCAGGUUCGAUUUCAGGCCAAUGUA
rnacentral:tRNA from 1 species